AACGAACGCUGGCGGCAUGCCUAACACAUGCAAGUCGAACGAGACCUUCGGGUCUAGUGGCGCACGGGUGCGUAACGCGUGGGAACCUGCCUUUAGGUUCGGAAUAACUCAGAGAAAUUUGAGCUAAUACCGGAUGAUGUCUUCGGACCAAAGAUUUAUCGCCUUUAGAUGGGCCCGCGUUGGAUUAGCUAGUUGGUGGGGUAAAGGCCUACCAAGGCGACGAUCCAUAGCUGGUCUGAGAGGAUGAUCAGCCACACUGGGACUGAGACACGGCCCAGACUCCUACGGGAGGCAGCAGUGGGGAAUAUUGGACAAUGGGCGAAAGCCUGAUCCAGCAAUGCCGCGUGAGUGAUGAAGGCCUUAGGGUUGUAAAGCUCUUUUACCCGAGAUGAUAAUGACAGUAUCGGCAGAAUAAGCUCCGGCUAACUCCGU
rnacentral:rRNA from 1 species